rnacentral:rRNA from 1 species
GAUGAACGCUGGCGGCGUGCUUAACACAUGCAAGUCGAACGGAAAGGCCCAAGCUUGCUUGGGUACUCGAGUGGCGAACGGGUGAGUAACACGUGGGUGAUCUGCCCUGCACUUCGGGAUAAGCCUGGGAAACUGGGUCUAAUACCGGAUAGGACGAUGGUUUGGAUGCCAUUGUGGAAAGUUUUUUCGGUGUGGGAUGAGCUCGCGGCCUAUCAGCUUGUUGGUGGGGUAAUGGCCUACCAAGGCGUCGACGGGUAGCCGGCCUGCGAGGGUGUACGGCCACAUUGGGCCUGAGAUACGGCCCAGACUCCGACGGGAGGCAGCAGUGGGGAAUAUUGCACAAUGGGCGCAAGCCUGAUGCAGCGACGCCGCGUGGGGGAUGACGGCCUUCGGGUUGUAAACUCCUUUCGCUAGGGACGAAGCGUUUUUGUGACGGUACCUGGAGAAGAAGCACCGGCUAACUACGUG